AUUGAACGCUGGCGGCAGGCUUAACACAUGCAAGUCGAGCGGGGUGAUGGUGCUUGCACUAUCACUUAGCGGCGGACGGGUGAGUAAUGCUUAGGAAUCUGCCUAUUAGUGGGGGACAACAUCUCGAAAGGGAUGCUAAUACCGCAUACGUCCUACGGGAGAAAGCAGGGGAUCACUUGUGAUCUUGCGCUAAUAGAUGAGCCUAAGUCGGAUUAGCUAGUUGGUGGGGUAAAGGCCUACCAAGGCGACGAUCUGUAGCGGGUCUGAGAGGAUGCUCCGCCAAACUGGGACUGAGACACGGCCCAGACUCCUACGGGAGGCAGCAGUGGGAAUAUUGGACAAUGGGGGGAACCCUGAUCCAGCCAUGCCGCGUGUGUGAAGAAGGCCUUAUGGUUGUAAAGCACUUUAAGCGAGGAGGAGGCUCUUUUGGUUAAUACCCAAGAUGAGUGGACGUUACUCGCAGAAUAAGCACCGGCUAACUCUGUGCCAGCCGCCGCCGUAA
rnacentral:rRNA from 1 species